rnacentral:rRNA from 1 species
AUCCAUCUCACCCUUUGUGCAUCACCGCGUGGGUCCUCCUUUGCGGGAGGGCUCGCGUUUUUACAUAAAACUCGACGCAGUGUAGAAUGUUUAUUUUUGCUGUCACACGCAAUCAAUACAACUUUCAACAACGGAUCUCUUGGCUCUCGCAUCGAUGAAGAACGCAGCGAAAUGCGAUACGUAAUGUGAAUUGCAGAAUUCAGUGAAUCAUCGAAUCUUUGAACGCACCUUGCGCCCCUUGGCAUUCCGAGGGGCACACCCGUUUGAGUGUCGUGAAAUCUUCAAAACCCUCUUCUUUGACCCUUUUUUGGUCGGGAAAAGGAUUUUUGGACUUGGAGGUUUAAUGCUUGCUUUCGCGUUCGAAAGCAAGCUCCUCUCAAAGGAAUCAGUGGGGUCUGCUUUGCUGGUCCUUGACGUGAUAAGAUGUUUCUACGUUUUGGAUCCGGCGUCGUCCCUGCUCCCAAUCGUCUCAUGGACAAACGAUGGUGCUUCGGUCGCCGCCAUCUACGUUGGCGGGAGGCUGGACCCACGAAACAGACCUGACCUC